UGGGGAAUCUUGCGCAAUGGCCGCAAGGCUGACGCAGCGACGCCGCGUGCGGGAGGACGCCCCUCGGGGUGUAAACCGCUGUUGCCCGGGACGAACAGGAGUAUUCGUACUCCCUGACGGUACCGGGUGAGGAAGCGCCGGCUAACUCCGUGCCAGCAGCCGCGGUAAUACGGAGGGCGCGAGCGUUGUCCGGAAUCACUGGGCGUAAAGGGCGCGUGGGCGGCUGCGGGGGCAGUCGCUGGUGAAAGCCCGGGGCUCAACCCCGGGUCGGCCAGCGAUACUCCCCCGGCUCGAGCACUGUAGGGGCGGGCGGAAUUCCGGGUGUAGCGGUGGAAUGCGUAGAGAUCCGGAAGGACACCGGUGGCGAAGGCGGCCCGCUGGGCAGUAUGGCUGACGCUGAGGCGCGACAGCGUGGGGAGCAAACAGGAUUAGAUACCCUGGUAGUCCACGCCGUAAACGAUGGGCACUAGGUGCCUGGGGGAGCGACCCCCCGGGUGCCGGCGCUAACGCAUUAAGUGCCCCGCCUGGGGAGUACGGCCGC
rnacentral:rRNA from 1 species